rnacentral:rRNA from 1 species
UACAGAGGGUGCGAGCGUUAAUCGGAAUUACUGGGCGUAAAGCGUGCGCAGGCGGUCCGCAAAGUCUGAUGUGAAAGCCCCGGGCUCAACCUGGGAACUGCAUUGGAAACUAACGGGCUCGAGUGUGGCAGAGGGGGGUGGAAUUCCACGUGUAGCAGUGAAAUGCGUAGAGAUGUGGAGGAACACCGAUGGCGAAGGCAGCCCCCUGGGCUAACACUGACGCUCAGGCACGAAAGCGUGGGGAGCAAACAGG